CUGCUGAAGAGAUACCAUACACACAGUCUGUAGUUUACUGCCCUGCUGAAGAGAUACCAUACACACAGUCUGUAGUUUACUGCCCUGCUGAAGAGAUACCAUACACACAGUCUGUAGUUUACUGCCCUGCUGAAGAGAUACCAUACACACAGUCUGUAGUUUACUGCCCUGCUGAAGAGAUACCAUACACACAGUCUGUAGUUUACUGCCCUGCUGAAGAGAUACCAUACACACAGUCUGUAGUUUACUGCCCUGCUGAAGAGAUUCUUUAAAGCUGCAAUCAGCAGUUGAAACAAAAAACAAAGCCUUUUCCCCUCCACUGUUUUGCUAAAAAGCUGAGUAAUGGGGCCGGAGAAAUGUGACCACUCUCCAUUUCAUAGACAGAGCUGUAGAUACAAGGACUGAUUGUCUAAUACAACACCAUGAUAGUUUGAACCGUGUUCUGAGGCUAUUCACUUCCUUUGUUUAGGCAUAUUGGAGAAAAACAAGCUGAUAUUUUGAGUGUCACAGUUGACCUAAGCGCAUGAGGCAAUUUAUUUUACCUUUAUUUAACUGGGCGAGUCAGUUAAGAACAAACUCGUAUUUACAGUGACGGCCCAGGAACAGUGGGGUUAACUGCCUUUUUCAGGGGCAGAAAGACAGAUUUUUACCUCUUCAGCUUAGGGAUUCGAUCUAGCAACCUUUCGGUUACUGGCCCAACGCUCCAACCACUAGUUUACCUGCCACUGACCAGUUAUAUUCUUCAAGAAUCAAUGGAUACACCUGUAUAUCAUUCAUUUAUAAGUCCAAAAAUGGAUGUGUCUACUGCAGAUUGUCUCUCUAAGAUGAGGUGACAUGUUCUUCAGUAUAAACCUAAAGAGAGAUUCCACAGCUGUGAUUAGGAUGACUGUGCUGACGGAGGAUACAGGGGGAGACGAGGGAGGGGGGGCGAGGAGGUGUCCUAUUACCCAUGAUCCUCCUGUCUCAUCGCCAUCACUCAGGGUCUAGGUCUGUUGGUACAUGCCCUUCCUUCCUUCCCAGCGUCCCUCAUCCACAACGCUCCAAUUCACCUCUCAGCUGCCACUCAGCGGCUUUUAAACACAUUCUAACACACAUCAAAGGAACCACUUCUCCUUGAGGAGCUCAAACACUUCAGGAGACUCGGACCGCAGAAAAGGAGGAGGUCUGGGAGACUCUGACCGCAGGAAAGGAGGAGGUCUGGGAGACUCGGACCGCAGAAAAGGAGGAGGUCUGGGAGACUCUGACCGCAGGAAAGGAGGAGGUCUGGGAGACUCGGACCGCAGAAAAGGAGGAGAUCUGGGAGACUCGAACCGCAGAAAAGGAGGAGGUCUGGGAGACUCGGACCGCAGAAAAGGAGGAGGUCUGGGAGACUCGGACCGCAGAAAAGGAGGUCUGGGAGACUCGGACCGCAGAAAAGGAGGUCUGGGAGACUCGGACCGCAGAAAAGGAGGUCUGGGAGACUCGGACCGCAGAAAAGGAGGAGGUCUGCUAUGGAUUCUUUAACAUCAGAAAUAGACGUUAAAAUGACAAGACUCUUGAAUACGGACACUGAAUCUUAGAGUGUUCAGUUUACCUUCAUGAUGAGUGCAAGAGCAGUAUUAAUUCAUAUUCACAAUGAUGACCAUGUUAUCUGAGGGUUAGUGCUAGUGUUAGGUUUAGGCUUAGGCUUAGGUUUAGGCUUAGGUCUAGGCUUAGGCUUAGGUUUAGGCUUAGGGAUAUGUGACGUCAAAGUUGUAAACUUUAUGAUGAGUGCAAGUGCAUAUUAAUUCAUAUUAACAAGGAUGACCAUGUUAUCUGAGGGUUAGUGCUAGUGUUAAGUUUAGGUUUAGGCUUAAGGUUAGGUUUAUUGUUAGGCUUAGGCUUAGGUUUAAGGUUAGGGUUAGGCUUAGGCUUAGGUUUAGGAUUAGGGUUAGGUUUAAGGUUAGGUUUAGGUUUAGGGUUAGGUUUAAGGUUAGGUUUAUUGUUAGGCUUAGGUUUAGGGUUAGGCUUAGGCUUAGGUUAAAGGUUAGGUUUAUUGUUAGGCUUAGGGUUAUGUGAUGUCUAAGUUGUAUAAUUGUGUAUAUUCUAUGAACUACUGCCAUUACAUAAUAACGAGGGUUGAUUGUUUCUGAGUGGUGUGAGCAGACCCCAGUGUGAGGUCGUGUAGAGUCGCCCCACAGGAGGCCAUCGUCCUGUAAUCAAUACCAAUCCAAACCAAUACUGGAUCAAUACCAGGACCACCUGAGAGACUCAACACACCACUGCCUUGUCAGUCCUUUAGUUCUGCUGCUUUAAUCAUCUGUCUACACCUGACGCUGUUUGUCUUUCUCACCACUGUCUGUCUGUCUGUCUGUCUGUCUGUCUGUCUGUCUGUCUGUCUGUCUGUCUGUCUGUCUGUCUGUCUGUCUGUCUGUCUGUCUGUCUGUCUGUCUGUCUGUCUGUCUGUCUGUCUGUCUGUCUGUCUGUCUGUCUGUCUGUCUGUCUGUCUGUCUGUCUGUCUGAUGGGGGUGGUAGCUCACCAGCAUCACUUCUGUCUGUCUGUCUGUCUGUCUGUCUGGUGGGGGUUGGUAACUGGCCAGCCUGCUCACACACUUCAAAGAUGCUGUUCUCUCUAUUAGAAUGGGUUACUGCUGUCUUGUCAAGGUGUGUUUUGCAUUAUGUCACCGAAUAACUAUUGUAGGUAAUAGUUAAAACUCAGUGGGGGCCCGCCCACAGGGCGCUAGGGGCGACGCUCCACUUGUGAUUGGUCCAAAAAAUAAAAUAAAAAAUAAUAGAAAAGUAUAUAUAUUAAGUAAUUAAUGGAUUAUGUUUUCAAUGUUCAUAAGAGUGUGAUGUAUGUGUACAUUUUCCUAUUUCAACAAUCUAUUGGUUAAAACAAUCUGUUUGGUUCCUUCCUACCCUGCCAGCAGCAGCAGCUCCGUGGGCUCACAGGCGCUGAAAACAUUUCAUGGCUUGUUUCACCAGUUAUUUACUCCGAGGGGGAACUUCCCCGGUGAUACGUUUUAACAGCACGAAGUAAACGGACCUUCCUGGAGCGUUCAAACGUCAGAACCAGAACCUCUGGGUCUAGUCUCCUUCCUGUGACGGCUCACCUCCUCAACUGAGACCAGGUCUGCUCUAGUCUCCUUCCUAUGACAGCUCACCUCCUCAACUGAGACUAGGUCUACUCGAGUCUCCUUCCUACGACAGCUCACUUCCUCAACUGAGACCAGGUCUGCUCUAGUCUCCUUCCUAUGACGGCUCACUUCCUCAACUGAGACCAGGUCUGCUCUAGUUUCUUUCCUAUGAUGGCUCACUUCCUCAACUGAGACCAGGUCUGCUCUAGUCUCCUUCCUAUGACGGCUCACUUCCUCAACUGAGACCAGGUCUGCUCUAGUCUCUUUCCUAUGACGGCUCACUUCCUCAACUGAGACUAGUUCUGCUCGAGUCUCCUUUCUAUGACGGCUCACUUCCUCAACUGAGACCAGGUCUGCUCUAGUCUCCUUCCUAUGACGGCUCACUUCCUCAACUGAGACCAGGUCUGCUCUAGUCUCCUUCCUAUGACGGCUCACUUCCUCAACUGAG
ensembl:lncRNA